UACGUAGGGACCAAGCGUUGUUCGGAUUUACUGGGCGUAAAGGGCGCGUAGGCGGCAAUUCAAGUCAGCUGUGAAAUCUCCGGGCUUAACCCGGAACGGUCAGAUGAUACUGCUUUGCUAGAGUGCGGAAGGGGCAAUCGGAAUUCUUGGUGUAGCGGUGAAAUGCGUAGAUAUCAAGAGGAACACCUGAGGUGAAGACGGGUUGCUGGGCCGACACUGACGCUGAUAGCGCGAAAGCCAGGGGAGCAAACGGG
rnacentral:rRNA from 1 species